CUGCUCUACCUCGUAUUUCUACCCACGCAGACCUAAAGCAGGCCACAGUCACCUGCUUCCUCUCACUAUUUAAGCUCUUCCAACACUCUGCGAUCGGCCUCCUGAUGCUCCAAAAGAUCACCCUAGCUUCAGUCUGUCAUUGGCACUCUGAUCCUAUCAGAGUUUACACAAAACAAGUGGAACUGCAGCUGGGGUUGUGGUGGAGUUCAACUGAGCAAAAAUCCGGUCCAGUCGUCGGGAA